AAGACUUGUCCCCCUGCACGUCUGCGCUGGUUUUAGGAUGUAGGAUGUCUGUAAAGGGGGUUGCAGAGAUGGCUCAGCAGUGGAAGGCAGAUACUGCUUCUCCAGAGGACCUGGGUUUGGUCUGAGCACCCACACUGGGUGGCUCACAACUGCCUGUUACUCUGGCUCCAGGAGACCCGGCACCCUCUUCUGAUCACACCAGAAACACAAUUAAAAGAUUCAUGUGUGCCCUGAGGUCAGAGGACAACUUCAAGGAGUCGGCAUUCUCUUUGACCAUGUGGGUCCAGGGAACAGAACUUGGGUGGUUAUGUUUGGUGACAAGCACCUAACCCACUGUUGGGGCCCAAAAAUUAUAAAGCUUGGAGUCCAAACCUCCGCUCCAUUUCCAGGAGCCUGAAUCUCCCAUUGUCUUGGCUAAAUUACUAUGGGAUGGCUUGGCCUCAGUGGAGAAUGUCUCCUAGUUUGCAUAACAACAGACCUAGGCCCUGGGUGUACCCACACCUGUUCUGAGAGCUUGUUUAUGUGCCUAGGGACUGUUUGGAGGUGUCUCUAGGAUUAAAAGAAUUGUUUGAUAUCAGUUUUAUACAUGAGAGUAGCUGUCUUCUUCGAUCACCCCCACUGGUGGAAAGCUAAUUAAGAGGAAGCUUGAAUAAACCAGAGACUCCAGUUUCCAGCAUGGACUGAGAGCCCUCCUGAGACGACAA